UGUUUUUUUGUGGGUUUUUUUAAGCACUUCUGCAUCCUGCCCAACUUGGAUGCUGGAUGUAACUCUGAGCUGGAUGCUGGAUGCUGGAUGUAACUCUGAACUGGAUGCUGGAUGCUGGAUGUAACUCUGAGCUGGAUGCUGGAUGCUGGAUGUAACUCUGAACUAGAUGCUGGAUGUAACUCUGAACUGGAUGCUGGAUGCUGGAUGUAACUCUGAACUAGAUGCUGGAUGUAACUCUGAACUGGAUGCUGGAUGUAACUCUGAACUGGAUGCUGGAUGUAACUCUGAGCUGGAUGCUGGAUGUAACUCUGAACUAGAUGCUGGAUGUAACUCUGAACUGGAUGCUGGAUGCUGGAUGUAACUCUGAACUGGAUGCUGGAUGUAACUCUGAACUGGAUGCUGGAUGCUGGAUGUAACUCUGAGCUGGAUGCUGAAUGUUACUCUGACCUGGAUGCUGGAUGUAACUCUGACCUGGAUGCUGGAUGCUGGAUGCUGGAUGUAACUCUGACCUGGAUGCUGGAUGUAACUCUGAGCUGGAUGCUGGAUGUCAUUCUGAACUGGAUGCUGGAUGCUGGAUGUAACUCUGAGCUGGAUGCUGGAUGCUGGAUGUAACUCUGAACUGGAUGCUGGAUGCUGGAUGUAACUCUGAGCUGGAUGCUGGAUGUAACUCUGAACUGGAUGCUGGAUGUAACUCUGAACUGGAUGCUGAAUGCUGGAUGUAACUCUGAACUGGAUGCUGGAUGCUGGAUGUAACUCUGAGCUGGAUGCUGGAUGUAACUUUGACCUGGAUGCUCUCCCAAAAACAUCCAGGUCGCUAUGCCGUACAUCCGGCUCGUUUUACUUCUGCAUCCCGCUCAACAUCCACUCGAUGGCUUCCCCUGACAGGAGACGUCUACCUGCUCUUUAUCAUCCGUCCACGUCUUCCUCACUGUAACAGCCACUACUGCUCUUUAGCGUCCGUCCACGUCUUCCUCUGUGUAACAGCCCCUACAGCUCAAUAGUGUGCAGUGAAUUUGACUAGAUGUAAGGCUUUAAUGAAUAUGACAUGUAUUCUAAGCAAAAAAUUUUUUUUCGAAAUUGCACAAACAAUCAAUUUUUUGCAUACCCAAAAAGCAAGUACAGGGGCGCGUCUGAUUUCAUUCCUUAUUCUCAGGGCCAGGUGUUUAUUCUACAUGUCAGAGAGGCAUGUUUGCUCCAGUUACAUAGACGAUUUAUAUUUGAACGUUCCAAAAACAUUGUGUCCUGCUGAACAUGUAGAAUGUAUUGCAGCUAAACAUGGUAUUCGGACACGGUCCAUGUAAUAAUGUCUGAGAAAAUCUGUUGAUGAUUUGUCGCUACAGAUGGUUUGUUACAUGGUUAGGAGAAUUAACAUGGCAGUUUAGGAGAAUUAACAUGAUAGGUUAGGAGAAUUACCAUGGCAGGUUAGGAGAAUUAACAUGGCAGGUUAGGAGAAUUAACAUGAUAGGUUAGGAUAAUUAACAUGGCAGGUUAGGAGAAUUAACAUGGCAGGUUAGGAGAAUUAACAUGAUAGGUUAGGAGAAUUAACAUGGCAGGUUAGGAGAAUUAACAUGAUAGGUUAUGAUAAUUAACAUGGCAGUUUAGGGGAAUUAACAUGGCAGGUUAGGAGAAUUAACAUGAUAGGUUAGGAGAAUUAACAUGGCAGGUUAGGAGAAUUAACAUGGCAGGUUAGGAGAAUUAACAUGGCAGGUUAGGAGAAUUAACAUGGCAGGUUAGGAUAAUUAACAUGGCAGGUUAGGAUAAAUAACAUGGCAGGUUAGGAGAAUUAACAUGGCAGGUUAAGAGAAUUAACAUGAUAGGUUAGGAGAAUUAACAUGAUAGGUUAGGAGAAUUAACAUUUACAUUUACAUUACAUUUAAGUCAUUUAGCAGACGCUCUUAUCCAGAGCGACUUACAAAAUGGUGCAUUCACCUUAUGAUAUCCAGUGGAACAACCACUUUACAAUAGUGCAUC
rnacentral:lncRNA from 1 species